rnacentral:rRNA from 1 species
GAUGAACGCUGGCGGUGCGCCUAACACAUGCAAGUCGAGCGGGAUUAUCUAAACGGAAGCUUCGGUGGAAGAUUAGAUAUGAGAGCGGCGGACGGGUGAGUAAUACCUUAGAAUCUGCCCCUAAGUGAGGGAUAGCCACGGGAAACUGUGAUUAAUACCGCAUAUGCUAGAGAUAGUAAAGCCUUCGGGCGCUUAGGGAGGAGCUUUGGUCCUAUCAGCUAGUUGGUGGUGUAAGAGACUACCAAGGCAAUGACGGGUAGCUGGUCUGAGAGGAUGAUCAGCCACAAUGGAACU